UACGUAGGGGGCAAGCGUUAUCCGGAUUUACUGGGUGUAAAGGGAGCGUAGACGGCAGUGCAAGUCUGGAGUGAAAGGCGGGGGCUCAACCCCCGGACUGCUCUGGAAACUGUACGGCUGGAGUGCAGGAGAGGUAAGUGGAAUUCCUAGUGUAGCGGUGAAACGCGUAGAUAUACGGAGGAACACCAGUGGCGAAGGCGGAUUGCUGGACAGUAACUGACGCUGAGGCGCGAAAGCGUGGAGAGCAAACAGG
rnacentral:rRNA from 1 species